rnacentral:lncRNA from 1 species
CAGCUGCACGCACGGGACCGAAGGUGGCGGAGCCAUCCAGAGCCGGUUCUGCCCCAGGCCUGAGCCGUCAUCGUAGAAGGUAAACCCCAAAACGAAAAUGAAACCUAACCACACACCAAGCUGACACCUCCAGUGGCUGAAGAGUGUCGGAGGGGUGCUGGCUGAUUCUGGAGUCGACCCUCCAUCGAUGCUGAGAAGUGCUCACUUGGGGGAUGUGGUCUGAGGGCUGCUGGAAAGGCUCCCCAGCCCCCCGCUGUUUCCUCCGCUGGCCUGUUGCUUCUCCUCACCUUCUGUUGCUGUAAUUGGAGUUAGAAGUGUGUGCAAAGCAGCCAGAGAGGACGAGAGGUUGGUGUGGGGUGUGCAAGUGGGGGUUCAGAAUGGGAGGAUGAACCUGCCGUCAUCCUGGCCUCCAGAGACUUGUGAUCCAGUCAUUAUGGCUCCUUUUUAGGGUGACAAGGAGGGCCAGCAGUUCUUGCCAACAUUCUCUUCGCAAAUGUGAAAGGCCUGGGCGACUUCUCAGUGUUUUACUGCCUUGCAGGAACGGCCCGUGGCCUCUGAGCCCCAGAGGGCAGGUCCAGCUCUGCUCCCCUGAGCCUUGCUCAGGGCCUGGCACGUGGCAGGAGCAGGUGUUAGUUUCCUAGGGCCGCUGUAACGAAAGAAUCACAAACUGCGGGGCUUAAAACAACAGAUAUUUAUUGUCUUCCACUUCUGGAGGCCAGAAGUCUGAGGUCAAGGAGCGCGGCAAGGCCUGCUCCUCUGAAGGCUGUAGGUGAGGGUGCUUCCGUGCCCCUUCUAGCUUCUGGUGGCUGCUGGGCAUCCUUGGCAUUCCUUGCAGCUGCAUCGGUCGAAUCUUUGUCUCUGCGGACAUAUGGUCUUCUUCCCUGUGUUUCUCUCUGUGUCUUUUUCUUAUAAGGAUUCAAGUCAUACUAGAUUAAGUUUUCAUGCUAAUAUAGUAUAAAGUCACCUUAACUUAUUACAUCUGCAAAGACUCUUCUUCCAAAUAAGUUUAUGUUCACAGACACAGGGAUUAGAACUUCCAUAUAUUUUCAGGGGACACAACUCAAUGCACAACUGAGAACUAUCAAGUGAAUGAUCAGAUGCCUGGGGAGCAGAGAGG